AAAAAUCUAAGUUAAAGUAAACUAAGGGUCUUCAAAACCCUAAAUAGGAAUGUGCUGUGAGUUUCCUGAUUUUUG
rnacentral:tRNA from 1 species